CCUUUGCGCGCGUUUUCAGGUGCCCCGAUGCAAAGCUGCCCGGGGUGAAACGGGAAACUGGUGCGCUCAGAGGCCCCUUUGAGUAAGUCCAGCGCUGCCCCCGCAACGGUAAUUGAGUCAACCGCCAUCGAACGCGCCACUGUGUCCGAGACAUGGGAAGGCGAUGGCCCGGGAUGCCGCCGGCAUCCACUCAUAAGCCCGGAGACCGGCCUGUUAACACACCAAAUG
rnacentral:ncRNA from 2 species